rnacentral:rRNA from 1 species
GCGAAAGGUCCGGCGUAGAGGGUAAGACCCCCGUAGUCGAAACGUCAGCGGCUCGUUUGAGAGACACCCAAGUAGCACGGGGCCCGAGAAAUCCCGUGUGAAUCUGGCGGGACCACCCGCUAAGCCUAAAUAUUCCCUGGUGACCGAUAGCGGAUAGUACCGUGAGGGAAUGGUGAAAAGUACCGCGGGAGCGGAGUGAAAUAGUACCUGAAACCGUGUGCCUACAAGCCGUGGGAGCGUCGGAUACGUGCUUGCACGUAUCUCGUGACUGCGUGCCUUUUGAAGAAUGAGCCUGCGAGUUUGCGGUGUGUUGCGAGGUUAACCCGAGUGGGGCAGCCGUAGCGAAAGCGAGUCCGAACAGGGCGCAUGAGUAGCACGCUCAAGACCCGAAGUGGAGUGCUAUAGCCAUGGGCAGGGUGAAGCGGAGGUAAGACUUCGUGGAGGACCGAACCCACCAGGGUUGAAAACCUGGGGGAUGACCUGUGGUUAGGGGUGAAAGGCCAAUCAAACUCCGUGAUAGCUGGUUCUCCCCGAAAUGCAUUUAGGUGCAGCGUCGUGUGUUUCUUGCCGGAGGUAGAGCACUGGAUAGGC